ensembl:lncRNA
AAAACAAAAAAAAACUUAAUUUCUGACAGGAACCUUUAAUUCAUGUUUCUUCUAGCAAAUUAUGAAUGAUUUUUCCCUCUCUAAUCUACAGAGUGACAGUAGUUUAGCUGCACCUAAACUGAAAGACAGUACUCCACUUUAACCAAACUUGCAGCUUGCUACUCUAUGUCCUAAAAAUUAGGAUGCAUUUGCACCUUAAAUCAUUCUGGUUGUUUUCCCAUUGAGGCUCUGUGCUCAACCAUGUAAACUACCUGACAGUAAGAAACCUAGUGCACAGGAUUCUUGUCGGUUUGUAUAGCUUCAAGCUUUUAUUUUGAAGCUCUGUAUCCAACAAUGAAAUAAGCAAGGAAUGCCCCCAGUCUUGUUUUGUUUCUUUUUUUUUUAAUGUCCUAUUCAAUCUACAUAACACGCUGAAGGGAGUGCCUGGCAUAUUCCAGAAUAAUUAUAUUUUUUAAAUAGUGUACAUUAUUCAAAUGCAAUAUAACUGAAAAAGUGUUAGAUCUCAUAACAUUCUGACACAUUUUUCCCAUGCAAUUGUGAUUGAAACUUUCCUCCUCUUCAGCAAGUGUUUAGCAUGCUUAUCCCAUUUGCUGCUUAGUUACAGUAUGCAAAAGAGCACAGUAAAGCGACUGUAUUACCACAAAGGUAAAGCUGAAUCCAGAGCCCAUGAGCUGUGGGGUUUUCUGUCAUGAAAAGAUUGUGACAUGUCUCUUAAAAUAAUAUAGCUGUUAGGUUCGAGUACUAUAGUAGCAUUUUGUUUUAAGAACUAAUCUUAGUUGGUAUUUACAGGUGGAACUAUUAUAGCACUCAGAGCUUCCAUUUUCAAGUUGUGAAGAAUUUUGAAAUGGAGGAAAAUCUCUUUCAAGUUCUUUGAAGCUGUGGUAUUGGAGCCAGGAAGUCAUGGAAAGUGCGGGCACUCCACGUGCGUUGUCUGGGAUAAUGAUUUUCCAUCUGGACGUUCUUCUUCUCAACAGUAUCUGCUCCUGCAGCCAUGUGACCAGAAGUCAUCCAGUCAGACACAGAGCCUGGGCUUGUGACGCUUCUUUUUAGGUUUUUGUCCUGAAAAUAGUAAAUAAGUGUUGUUAGCAAUGUCUUUUGUCAACAGCUUUUGAACUUCAAAAAGUGGCCUUUAGUGCAAGC